rnacentral:sRNA from 1 species
GAAAGGAGACUCAAAGUUUAGGUAGAAGGGCAUUCUGGGUGCAAGGAACAUUAUCAGUAUGGCUAGAUGAUUGAAGACCGUGAAAGCCAAAGAUGAAGAGGAAGCCUUUCUGGAUUGGAGUGAUGAUGAUGAUGAUGGAUUUGAUCCAAGCACACUCCCAGAUCCAGAUAAGUACAGAAGCUCUGAAGAUUCAGAUAGUGAAGAUAUGGAAAAUAAAAUAAGUGAUACCAAGAAGAAGCAGGGGAUGAAGAAGAGGAACAACAGUGAAGUGGAGGACAUAGGACCAACAAGUCAUAACAGAAAGAAGGCCAAGUGGGACCCUUUAGAGCCUUUGGAUACCGGCCUGUCUUUAGCAGAGGAUGAAGAGCUGGUGUUACAUCUGCUAAGAAGUCAAAGCUAAAUACUUCCUGCACCUGCCUUCUCCUUGAAACCUUGGUUACGAUUGUGUAGGCAAGAAGUUGAAAAACAGUUGAUUUGGGGGCACUUAGGUACCAUAUGCCCCAUUCCCAAAGGGCACAUUUCUGGAUAGAAGUGAUCGUAUCUCCAAGUCCCUCUCGCAGGACAUGCUUUGUGCCAUCACUGAGCAUACUCAGAUCGAGGGUGGAUGAUGCCAUUUCCUGACCCCGUUUUCCAGCAUGUGUUCUGUUAGAUUUUUACCCAUGAGUUCCUACGCCUUGUCAUUGGAAACACUGCCUUUGUUUUACUGGCAAGUUCUGGAGCUCUUGUGUCAUUGUUAGAAAUCCCUGUCUUGCUUACUGUACAGAAGUUUCUGUUACUGUUAAAAU